GCGGGGUUACAGCACCAGUUCCCGUAUAAUCACCAAAGUUAAGCAACGUCAAGCCUGGUCAGUACCUAGAUGGGUGACCGUUUGAGAAUACCAGGUGCUGUAAG